AGACGACCUCACUGGAUGUGCCCUCCUUUGUUCCCAUAACUGGCUGGCUACUGGAGAAGUGUCCCUCUUCCAACCAGGCCUAUGGUUUUUUUCAGGGCAUCAACAUCGUGUGCGGAGGGGAUGAGCAAGAAGACAAUGGAGCGUUCCCGCUGCUCGCUUGCUCUGCAGUGAGAUGCAGUGUGUUGUUCUGGGAGGACGGCAGUAAUGCAAAAACCAAUCCAGCACAUUCCAUGCAUGGGAAAGGCAUUGAAAAUACUUACAAUAGCGAAUUUUUCCUUUAAGCCUAAGCGUAAGUGACUUUUCUUUGGGCGACCGCUCCCAUUGGACGGCUUCAGGACCGCCUUCUGCAGUCAUUCAGGUGUGAAAUGUGCCUUUAAUAUGCCUUUCUUUCCCACUAUUAUGCAAAGUAGUUAUUUUCGGCUAAGAUCAAAUAUGAAAAACUACAAUGUAAGGAAAACUUGAAAAGUGUACGUAUAAAAGGAGUGCAUAUGCCUUAUUUUGUAAUGUUGAGCUCUAAGCUGAGUCAUUGAUCUAGAAGUUGGGGUACAAAGUUACGUUUAUUCAGACGAUUUGGCCAAGCCGGUUGGGGAGCAAAGUGCUGUCUGGGGCACAAUAAUGACAUUGGUGGAAGAGAGAUACCUGCUUCUGUCUCUCACUAUGCCCACAAUGGGUGAUGACACCAGGGAAGCUGCCCUCCUCUUAUGCUAACAGGCAAUGUUAGCAGAACAUGAAAACACACCAGAAGCGUCAAAGGGCCCGACCCCCGGAGACACAAAUCCUCUUUGUGUCCAGCUUAUCUCCAGCUGCUGCCAUGAUAAAUAGUCCAGCUCCAGGGAGCCUGGGGAAGCGCUACCCCACGGAACGAAGCACAGAGGGAAGCGAGCUUGAGGAAAUAUU
rnacentral:lncRNA from 1 species